ACCCGUUGGGGGCGUUCUCCCUCAAUGACUUACCUAAACAAGAAACUGACAAAAUCCAUGGUGGACAGGGGGAGCGAUGAGAGAGUGUAAUUCUAGCGAGAGAAAGGCAUGUCGCCUCCAGAGAAAAAUGGAAUGAAACUAAUCACGUCCAUGAAGUCACAGAAGACAGAAUAAAUAACUGUCUUUUUGUCAGUGGCUGCAUAUGCUCGGCUUCGAGCUCUGUAAUGGCUAUAAACUCUUUUGCUCCAUUUUAGAGAGAGAAAUCUUCAUAGAUCGCAACAUUGAAAAGGUAUUCUGAGCAAAAAGCUUUUGGCUCCACGUUCAAAAGCCUUCGUACUGGUGAAAAAUCUCUUCUGAGUUCUGAUAGGUUCGGGAAAAGUUUUGAGGUGUAUCAGAAAGUGAAAGGCCUGCGAAAGAGGAAAAAAGAUGAACAAGUCCAGCUCUGAAAGGAGCUUGUACAUUGAGAGCGAUGAUGAGGAAAAUGACACUGAGAAGCUUGUUGUCAGGGGAGAUGGUUAUGAUACAGAUUCAUCAGAUUCUUUUUCUCAUGGCAGCCCUAACCACAGCAAGCACCCAAGCUCGUAUAAUACAUCUUGGCCCCAGAGUUACAGGCAAUCCAUCGACAUGUAUAGCAGUGUGGCAUCUCCCAAUAUUGGGUUCUUGGGUACUCCCAAUUUAAGCAGAUUAAGCAGCUCUUAUUUGUCAUCUUCACUUCAAAGGAGACACACUCCUGAAAUACUUACAUCCUUGAUUAAGCCUUUAUUGCCCACAAAAAAAGAGCCAUCAUCACCACCACAACAACAGCAGGUUCUUCCUCCUCCUGCUCCUACCAAGAGGGUCCCAUCUCAGAAGGCCCUUGCCGAACAAAAACCUGCAAAAAUAUCACAUGAAGUGCCUCUUUCUCGUCAGUGUUCUUUUGGUCAGGCGGUGCUUAAUGGGAUGAAUGUUAUGUGUGGAGUGGGAAUACUUUCCACACCAUUUGCCAUCAAAGAAGGAGGUUGGAUGGGGAUAUUUGUGUUGAUUGCAUUUGCUCUAAUUGCAUUAUACACAGGUAUCCUCUUACGCGAUUGUUUAGACAGUGAACCUGGUCUUCAGACUUACCCGGACAUUGGGCAGGCUGCAUUUGGUACAAUAGGUCGCUUUGCUAUCUCUAUAAUUUUAUAUGUGGAAUUAUAUGCUUGUUGUGUGGAAUUUAUAAUUCUUGAGGGCGAUAAUUUAUCAUCAUUAUUUCCUGGUGCCCACCUAAAUUUAGCUGGGCUUCAGCUCAACUCACAUCAGCUUUUUGCUGUGGUGGCUACCCUGGCUGUGCUUCCUACUGUUUGGCUUCGUGACUUGAGCAUUCUUAGCUAUAUAUCAGCUGGUGGUGUUAUCUCAUCUAUGCUGGUUGUUCUAUGCUUGUUCUGGGUUGGAGUAGUGGAUCAAGUUGGGUUACAAUACAAACCCCAUGCUUUAAACCUCAGUAGUCUCCCUGUUGCUAUUGGUCUUUAUGGGUACUGCUAUUCUGGGCAUGCAGUCUUUCCAAACAUCUACACGUCCAUGAAGAAACCUUCUCAAUUUCCUGUGGUUUUAAUUACAAGUUUUGCAAUUUGUACUGCCAUGUAUGCUGGAGUGGCUUUUAUGGGAUACUCCAUGUUUGGAGAAUCCAUCGUGUCACAGUUCACCCUCAACAUGCCCCACCAGCUCACAGCCUCCAAAAUAGCAGUGUGGACAACAGUGGUGAAUCCAUUUACAAAAUAUGCAUUGACACUAUCUCCAGUGGCCCUAAGUUUGGAGGAGUUGAUACCUUCUAUGCAUCUCAAGUCAUACUUCAUUGCGAUCCUCAUUAGAACAGCAUUGGUCGUCUCCACUUUGCUCGUGGCUCUCUCGGUUCCAUUCUUUGGUCUUGUAAUGGCAUUAAUUGGAUCCCUCCUAACCAUGCUUGUUCUUUUUGCAUGCAUACUAAUAGCACUGAGAAUAAUGGCCUGCCAUGCUUGCACACUGCCCACUGUGAAGCAAGUAUAAGGGACAUAUUUCUACAGUAAAAAAAGGUCGCACCAAACAUGGCCUUACACUUCAGAGAAACAAUUAUAUAUGAAUCGGCCUUUGCCUUUCUCCAGACGAUGAUUCUUCCAUGUGCUUGCUACCUAAGUAUUGUUCGUAGGAAGGUAACUAUCUUUCAGGUAUUACUCUGCAUUUUGAUCCUUGUUAUAGGAAUUAUAUCCUCUGUGGUUGGAACGUACACAGCAGUUGCGGGUAUCAUUCGCAGCAUGUGUUAAUCUCUCUCCCUCUCUUUCUCUCUUUCAGUGGUUACUGAUUCAAGAAUGAGGAUAAAAUGUAGAACAAAAACAUUUUCGCGAUCUCUCACUCUCUCUUAAGAUCCACAAAUCUAUAAUAACUUAUAAACUGAUUGUCAUAAAAAAAUAAAAAAAUUAUUUGAGAUUUGGUUUUCAAUUA